CGCACAUUGCGCCCGCCAGUAUUCUGGCGGGCAUGCCUGUUCGAGCGUCAUUUCAACCCCUCAUGCCCUAGCGCAUGGCGUCGGGGCUCGCCUGGCUUCGCCGGGACGGCCCUUAGAAUCAUUGGCGGACCCGCCGCGGCUCCGAGCGCAGUAGUAACAUUCUCGCUUAGGAGGUCCGUGGAGGUGCUCUGGCCGUAAAACCUCUGCUUGCAGAACUAUACAAGGUUGACCUCGGAUCAGGUAGGAAUACCCGCUGAACUUAA
rnacentral:misc_RNA from 1 species